ACCGUGAGCGGCUGAGCAGGCCGCCGGAGCCGCCGUCCGGCCUCACCGGAGCCCCGCCUGCUCUCCCGACCUCUUGCCGCCCCCAACCCUCUCUCUUUCUCUCUGUUUUGCAGCUAAACCAGUAGACCCACGAAGUGGGUUACCAGCACUUCGGGCCCGCUUUUGGACCGUUUCCCGGCCCCGAACCCAAGCCGUGCUUUGGGAACAAUCGUUCCUCGCGUCGCCGCCGUCGGAUUGAUCCGAUUUGCGCGCGAUUUGGUGAGUAAUCUCACUAAUCCUGGAUUAGUUGGCUAAUUAUGCUUUAGGUUGGUUUAGUUUUAAUUAAUUAUAUUUAGGU
rnacentral:lncRNA from 1 species